AGCAGCCGCGGUAAUUCCAGCUCCAAUAGCGUAUAUUAAAGUUGCUGCAGUUAAAAAGCUCGUAGUUGAAUUUCGGGACUAAUAUGUCGGUCGUGCCUCGGUAUGUACUGGUAUUUUUGGUUUCUCCUUCUGACGAACCUUGAUGUCAUUAAUUUGGUGUCUUGAGGAAUCAGGACUGUUACUUUGAAAAAAUUAGAGUGUUUAAAGCAGGCUCACGCUUGAAUACAUUAGCAUGGAAUAAUGAAAUAGGACGUUUGAUUCUAUUUUGUUGGUUUCUAGGAUCGACGUAAUGAUUAAUAGGGAUAGUUGGGGGCAUUAGUAUUCAAUUGUCAGAGGUGAAAUUCUUGGAUUUAUUGAAGACUAACUACUGCGAAAGCAUUUGCCAAGGAUGUUUUCAUUAAUCAAGAACGAAAGUUAGGGGAUCGAAGACGAUCAGAUACCGUCGUAGUCUUAACCAUAAACUAUGCCGACUAGGGAUCGGAUGAUGUUAAUUUUUUAAUGACUCAUUCGGCGCCUUACG
rnacentral:rRNA from 1 species